AGUGGCGAACGGGUGAGUAAUAUAUCGGAACGUGCCCAGUCGUGGGGGAUAACGUAGCGAAAGUUACGCUAAUACCGCAUACGAUCUACGGAUGAAAGCGGGGACCUGUAAGGGCCUCGCGCGAUUGGAGCGGCCGAUACCAGAUUAGGUAGUUGGUGGGGUAAAGGCUCACCAAGCCAACGAUCUGUAGCUGGUCUGAGAGGACGACCAGCCACACUGGAACUGAGACACGGUCCAGACUCCUACGGGAGGCAGCAGUGGGGAAUUUUGGACAAUGGACGCAAGUCUGAUCCAGCCAUUCCGCGUGCAGGAUGAAGGCCCUCGGGUUGAAAACUGCUUUUGUACGGAACGAAAAGGUCUCUCUUAAUACGGGGGGCUCAUGACGGUACCGUAAGAAUAAGCACCGGCUAACUACGUGCCAGCAGCCGCGGUAAUACGUAGGGUGCAAGCGUUAAUCGGAAUUACUGGGCGUAAAGCGUGCGCAGGCGGUUAUAUAAGACAGAUGUGAAAUCCCCGGGCUCAACCUGGGAACUGCAUUUGUGACUGUAUAGCUAGAGUACGGUAGAGGGGGAUGGAAUUCCGCGUGUAGCAGUGAAAUGCGUAGAUAUGCGGAGGAACACCGAUGGCGAAGGCAAUCCCCUGGACCUGUACUGACGCUCAUGCACGAAAGCGUGGGGAGCAAACAGGAUUAGAUACCCUG
rnacentral:rRNA from 1 species